rnacentral:misc_RNA from 1 species
AUUUAUAGCACCCAAGAAACAAACAAGUUUCUCACUCUUUAAGCUGACCCAUAGAUUUUUUGAUUGAUUCAUCUUCUCUGAUUCUUUUAUUUUCUCAUAUUUCCAUUUCUUGAAGCUCUUCUAAGAAAAACCCACAAAAAAUGAUUCAUUUCUGAAAUCAAUCACUCUGUUUUCUUGGUUAUUUGGGUAUAGAGGGAUUUGAAUUUUUUAUUUUCUUUCCAAAGUUGCAAUCUUUUCAGUGUAUUGUUAUUUGGGGUUUUUCUUGAUUUGGGUUGGAAAAAAGGGGUGAAUCAAAAAGUUGGUUUUUGAGAUUUUCUUGGAUUUGGGUGUUGUGGGUAUUGGUUAAAAUUGAGUCUUUUGUUCAUUUAAGUUUUUGAUCUGUUGGGGGUAUUCUUGGAAGUUUGUGGUUGUUGUUUGGUGAAUUGAUGAGAGUUUGAAGUGGAUUGGUGAUUGUGAGAGAUUGUUUGAAUGGCUUUAAAAGAGUUGAUUGAGAUCAAGUUCAGGCUUGCUGAUGGCAGUGAUAUUGGACCCAACAAGUAUACACCUGCCACCACAGUGGGUUCUCUUAAAGAAAAGAUAAUUGCCCAGUGGCCCAAAGAUAAAGAUUCUGGGCCAAAGACAAUAAAUGAUGUGAAGCUUAUUAAUGCUGGAAUGAUACUUGAGAACAAUAGAACACUUGGUGAAUCAAGACUUCCAGUUGCUGAAGUUGCAGGAGGUGUCAUCACUAUGCAUG